CGCGGAAAUAGCGAACGGCUUUUUAGGGUUCGAGUAACCUAGCAAAAUAUAUAAUAUAUAUGGUUAUAUUUAUGGUUUCGCCGUUAGGCGCAGUUAGGGAUUGUGCACUCGUUUGUUUCCGGGAAAAUUUUAUUUCGAGAAACGUUAAAACGAGACACGAUUGCAUUUGCUUAUUUUUGCACCAUCUCCCUCCCUCCCCCUCUCUAUACUACACUAGGUAGUGAAUCUGAAAUUUGAUUCUUAAUAAACACGGGUAAUUCCGAAGAAAUGGAAUACUUAAGUGCACAUAAGAAAAAAAGGGAAAUAAAUAAAAGGAGGAUGAUGAGCCAAAGUAAAAAUCCCCAAAAACAGGAAGAGCCUGAAGUGAGGCAAACGAGAAGGUAUGAAGUUUGAUAGUUAGGAGAGGAGAAAUCAAAUUUCCCGCUACAACUGCAUUCCAUCUUUUUUCACCGCGUAAACAAACAAGUGUGCUUAAGAGUAAUUUCAAAAAGCACUGCUGCUAGUGUUGCAUUAUUGGUUACGUUCUUAAUCUUUAACUUUCUUUUCCCCAGUUUAAAGUGUUUAAAGCUAUCUCAAAACUGGUUUUUUACGCUUUUCUACUGCAAACAAUGACGAAAUACACUUUUUAUGUCUGUAUCCUUGGUUUUAUUACCACCUGACUGCUUUGGUGUUUUUUGAACUGGAAAUCUACGAUUGGUAAUAAGAUUUCGACGAGCCAACCAGAGAGGCCGCUUUUAAAAUCCAACGAUCCCCGAAAUUCAUAACCCUUUCGCUUUCGAAGUUUUGAAGUUUUACACAGUCGAAGUACCAUUUCCAUUUCAUUUCCCUCCUUUGUGUUUGUGACAUAUUUCUACCCUCUUCGCUACGCGUAAUGUGCCUUUACAUGUAGUGAUUUUAAAAUAUGGAAGAGUCCAGUGAUUACGAAAGCGAUAAGCUUAGAAAGGCCUCUAUUAGUAGUGACCAAAUAGAGGACAGUGGUUACGGAUCUAACUUAUCAGAGCUAAGCGAGUCAUUUCCUCACCAAACUCCUGUCAAUUGUACACCUCAGUUUCAUCCUAACAGUGCCAGCUUUGUGAGCUUUAGUGAUGUGAAAGAUCGUCAAGAAUUCUUACAUCCAUCCAACAGUUGUAGAUCUGACUUUCUAACACCCUUUCAGAAUGGUCCAUGUUCUAGUGCUUCCUUUGCAAACUUAGGAAAACGUGGAAAUGUCAGUGAUGAAUUUCAAACUUUUCCUCCCUCAGCCAAGAGGAUUCGAAAUGAUUCUGAAGGGGAGGCAAACUCUACCUCAAAAGGAAGUUUUAAAGAUACCACUGGAUUAGCCGAACCAAAGUUCCAUGUCUCUACACCUUAUUGUGAAUUCAUAGACAAACUCAGAUAUAGUCCAAGUCCUAGUUCCAAUCAUAGCUUAUUUGGAGUAUCCCAUGUAGACUUUUUGUAUUUCUUAGGAGUUAAGAAUAUUCAUAAUCCAGUCCUGCAACGAAUAUAUUCUUACCUUUCUGAUCAUGAUCUCUACAAUGUCGCACGAGUCUCAAAAACAUGGCAUACUCUGGUCAAGAGCAACAACUCAACAAGGGAAAGAAUCAAAAAUUUUCUAAGGAAACCAUUGAAAGAAAAUAUCGCUCCUGGAGCUUCGCUUGCAAAAGUAUGUGAUGAUGAUGAGCUACCUGCAUCUCUCAUAGGGCGUGUAAAGCUGAUGGAAAUUCAGAAUAGGACUGCUAAUCAUCAAAACGUUCAGAACCAAGGCAAAAGUGCAUCGGCUGAUAAAAGUCCUCCAGUGAGCCCCUCUAAACUCCGUUUUCACCUUUUUCAGAAGGAAGCCCAGAAGUUAGAUCCUGGUGAGCAAUUAGUGCAGUGUCCCCGGUGCUCUUUACCGUCACGGCAAGAUAAAACCAACAAUUUAGGUUUGUGCACUCGUCAGGGGUGUCAAUAUCAAUUCUGCUUGAACUGCCGUUUUGAGUUUCACCAACCUCAUUCAUGUUCUGUGUUAACCCCUCGAUACAGUAACAAAAAUAGCCUUUACAUUAAUAGGAAAUCAAGUAGGAGGUUCCUUAGGCGCCUGUAA
rnacentral:lncRNA from 1 species